rnacentral:sRNA from 1 species
GCCAGGCACAGUGGUGUGUGCCUGUAAUCUAGUGACUCAGGAGACUGAGACAGGAGGCUUGCAAGUUCAAAGGCAGCCUCAGCAACUUAGCAAGGCCAUAGGCAACUUAGGGAGACCCUGUCUCAA